rnacentral:rRNA from 1 species
AUGAACGCUGGCGGCGUGCCUCAUACAUGCAAGUCGAGCGAACGGACGAGAAGCUUGCUUCUCUGAUGUUAGCGGCGGACGGGUGAGUAACACGUGGAUAACCUACCUAUAAGACUGGGAUAACUUCGGGAAACCGGAGCUAAUACCGGAUAAUAUUUUGAACCGCAUGGUUCAAAAGUGAAAGACGGUCUUGCUGUCACUUAUAGAUGGAUCCGCGCUGCAUUAGCUAGUUGGUAAGGUAACGGCUUACCAAGGCAACGAUGCAUAGCCGACCUGAGAGGGUGAUCGGCCACACUGGAACUGAGACACGGUCCAGACUCCUACGGGAGGCAGCAGUAGGGAAUCUUCCGCAAUGGGCGAAAGCCUGACGGAGCAACGCCGCGUGAGUGAUGAAGGUCGUCGGAUCGUAAAACUCUGUUAUUAGGGAAGAACAUAUGUGUAAGUAACUGUGCACAUCUUGACGGUACCUAAUCAGAAAGCCACGGCUAACUACGUG